AUAUUGGGCAAUGGGGGCAACCCUGAUCCAGCCCUUCCGCGUGUGUGAAGAAGGUCUUCGGAUUGUAAAGCUCUUUAAGUUGGGAGGAAGGGCUUUAGGCUAUUACCUGGAAGUUUUGACGUUACCAACAGAAUAAGCACCGCCAAACCUUGUUCCAGCAGCCGCUGUAUUACAGAGGGUGCAAGCGUUAAUCGGAAUUACUGGGCGUAAAGCGCGCGUAGGUGGUUCAGUAAGAUGGGUGUGAAAACCCCGGGCUUAACCUGGGAACUGCUUUCAUAACUGCUGAGCUAGAGUACGGUAGAGGGUAGUGGAAUUUCCUGUGUAGCGGUGAAAUGCGUAGAUAUAGGAAGGAACACCAGUGGCGAAGGCGACCACCUGGGCUAAUACUGACACUGAGGUGCGAAAGCGUGGGGAGCAAACA
rnacentral:rRNA from 1 species